UUAAUUCUUACAGUUUCUAUAGAUCAGAAAAGGGUGGGGAGGGGUGGCUUAACUGGGUAGUUCUGACUCAGUCUCUCUUAAGCUGACAGUCAGGAUGUCAGCUGCAGCUCCAGUCCUCUGAAGGCUUCCCCAGGACUGGGGAAUCUGCUCCCAAGCUCUCUCAUAUAGCUGUUGGCAAGGAGACCUCUUCCUUGUUGGCUGUGGGUCAGAGGCUUCUGUUCCUCACCAUGUGGCCUGUCCAUAGAACAACAUGGCAGUGGGAAAAAUCGAAGGGAGAGAGAGGUGGAAGCCACAAUGUCUUUUACAACCUAAUCUUGCCUCCGAAGUAACAUAUCAUCACAUUUGUACUCUUUUGGUCACUGGUCACACAGACCAACCCUUGUACAAUGUGGGAGGGCACCUUGGAAAUUCAUGCCCAAAAGGGCAUGAAUACCAGCAGGUGGGGAUCACCGAGGGCACCUUGGAGAUGGCUCUGUCUAUCUCACCAGCCUGACUGAACUCGGCCUUGUGCCUCUUGCUACUCCCUAGCCCUGGCUUAUUAUAGUUUUGCAUAAUAA
rnacentral:lncRNA from 10 species